rnacentral:rRNA from 1 species
GACGAACGCUGGCGGCGUGCCUAAUACAUGCAAGUCGAGCGAACCAAUAAGAAGCUUGCUUUUUGUUGGUUAGCGGCGGACGGGUGAGUAACACGGGGGUAACCUGCCUGUAAGACCGGGAUAACUCCGGGAAACCGGUGCUAAUACCGGAUAGAUUAUCUUUCCGCAUGGAGAGAUAAGGAAAGAUGGCUAUUGCCAUCACUUACAGAUGGGCCCGCGGCGCAUCAGAUAGGUGGUGAGGGAACGGCUCACCAAGGCGACGAUGCGUAGCCGACCUGAGAGGGUGAUCGGCCACACUGUGACUGAGACACGGCCCAGACUCCUACGGGAGGCAGCAGUAGGGAAUCUUCCGCAAUGGACGAAAGUCUGACGGAGCAACGCCGCGUGAGCGAAGAAGGUCUUCGGAUCGUAAAGCUCUGUUGUUAGGGAAGAACAAGUAUCGGAGGAAAUGCCGGUACCUUGACGGUACCUGACGAGAAAGCCACGGCUAACUACGUG